rnacentral:misc_RNA from 1 species
GCAAACUUGGUCAUUUAGAGGAAGUAAAAGUCGUAACAAGGUUUCCGUAGGUGAACCUGCGGAAGGAUCAUUAACGUGUUCGUUCGGCCGUCGGGUCGGCCCUGCACCGGCGGAGACGCCGUGCUGCGGGCUCCCGGCGCGCCUUCCAAACCAAACCCCUGUGAACCUUUGGGAGGGCGGAACCCGUCCGCGGGCGACGCCGUCCCCUUUACAAACUCUUUUGCAUCUCGUAGAAUGACCGCGGACCUCGUCCGCCUAAACACAUAACAACUUUCAACAACGGAUCUCUUGGCUCUCGCAUCGAUGAAGAACGCAGC